GUGCUCACUUCGGCAGCACAUAUACUAAAAUUGGAAUGAUACAGAGAAGAUUAGCAUGGCUCCUGUGCAAGGAUGACACGCAAAUUCAUGAAUCGUUCCAUAAAAAA
ensembl:snRNA U6 U6 spliceosomal RNA